UGGUUUCGUUGCGGCGGUCGGCGACGUAGGCUUUGUAUUCGAGGAGCACCGAAGGGAUCUCCUCUUCUUCAUCGCCGCCGGCGUCGAGGGCAGGCGGAUGGAAGCUCGCUUUUUUCAAUCCAAACAUGGAUGGGUGGGUGUUUUGGGUGUGCUUCUUGUGUUCGGAUGAUGAAUCGCUCGAUCCCUAGUAGCUCUGGAUUUUGCCCACCUAGCUAAUAUGAGGAUCGGAGGAGCGGCGGUUCAGACUCCAACUAGGAAAAUUCAUACUACCACCGAGUGGAGUAUCAAUCGAU
rnacentral:lncRNA from 1 species